rnacentral:rRNA from 1 species
UCCGGAGGGUGCGAGCGUUGUCCGGAAUCAUUGGGCGUAAAGGGCGCGUAGGUGGCCCGGUCAGCGUGCGGUGAAAGCUCGGGGCUCAACCCCGAGUCGGCCGUGCGAACUGCUGGGCUUGAGCACUGUAGAGGCAGGCGGAAUUCCGGGUGUAGCGGUGGAAUGCGUAGAGAUCCGGAAGAACACCGGUGGCGAAGGCGGCCUGCUGGGCAGUGGCUGACACUGAGGCGCGACAGCGUGGGGAGCAAACAGG